rnacentral:rRNA from 1 species
AUUGAACGCUGGCGGCAUGCUUUACACAUGCAAGUCGAACGGUAACAGGCCGCAAGGUGCUGACGAGUGGCGAACGGGUGAGUAAUGCAUCGGAACGUGCCCAGUCGUGGGGGAUAACGCAGCGAAAGCUGCGCUAAUACAGCAUAGGAUCUAUGGAUGAAAGCGGGGGACCAUAAUGCCUCGCGCGAUUGGAGAGCCCGAUGUCAGAGUAGGUAGUUGGUGGGGUAAAGGCCCACCAAGCCGACGAUCCGUAGCUGGUCUGAGAGGACGACCAGCCACACUGGGACUGAGACACGGCCCAGACUCCUACGGGAGGCAGCAGUGGGGAAUAUUGGACAAUGGGCGCAAGCCUGAUCCAGCGACGCCGCGUGAAGGAAGAAGGCCUUCGGGUUGUAAAGUGCUUUUGUUCGGAAUGAAAAGGUUAGGGUUAAUACCUGGGGGUCAUGACGGUACCGAAAGAAUAAGCACCGGCUAACUCCGUGCCAGCAGCCGCGGUAAUAC